rnacentral:lncRNA from 1 species
UCAAUAGUUGAUUGUAAAUGUAUUUGAAUCAAUUAUAAAUAACAUAGUAUUUAUUCAUCACCAGAACAUCUUCACAAACUCCGAUGUGAUGAAGUCCUUAGGACUGCUUUGUGUAAUGAAAUAUGAUUUUGUCACACAGGUCCUUAAAUGUUCAUGACCGUAUGAUAUACUAUUAAUAGGACGAUAGUAUUAUCGGGCGUAGGUCAUUGUGUAUCAUAUUAGUUGGUUGUCUUCCAAACCUAAGAGUAUAGAGAU